GUCUUCUUGGUGUAGUGGUCAGCACUCUUGGUGUGUACUCAAGAAGUCCGUGGUUCGAGUCCCGGCGAGGGCU
rnacentral:tRNA from 1 species